rnacentral:rRNA from 1 species
GAUUAAGUUAUUAAGGGCGCACGGUGGAUGCCUUGGCACUAGAAGCCGACGAAGGACGUUACUAACGACGAUAUGCUUUGGGUAGCUGUAAGUAAGCGUUGAUCCAGAGAUUUCCGAAUGGGGGAACCCAGCACGAGUUAUGUCGUGUUAUCGACAAGUGAAUUCAUAGCUUGUCAGAAGGCAGACCCGGAGAACUGAAACAUCUUAGUACCCGGAGGAAGAGAAAGAAAAAUCGAUUCCCUGAGUAGCGGCGAGCGAAACGGGAAGAGCCCAAACCAAUAAGCUUGCUUAUUGGGGUUGUAGGACACUCUAUACGGAGUUACAAAGGAAUAUAUUAGACGAAUCAUCUGGAAAGUUGAAUCAAAGAAGGUAAUAAUCCUGUAGUUGAAAAUAUAUUCUCUCUUGAGUGGAUCCUGAGUACGACGGAGCACGUGAAAUUCCGUCGGAAUCUGGGAGGACCAUCUCCUAAGGCUAAAUACUCUCUAGUGACCGAUAGUGAACCAGUACCGUGAGGGAAAGGUGAAAAGUACCCCGGAAGGGGAGUGAAAGAGAACUUGAAACCGUGUGCUUACAAGUAGUCAGAGCCCGUUAAUGGGUGAUGGCGUGCCUUUUGUAGAAUGAACCGGCGAGUUACGAUCUGAUGCAAGGUUAAGCAGGARAUGUGGAGCCGUAGCGAAAGCGAGUCUGAAUAGGGCGUUGAGUAUUUGGUCGUAGACCCGAAACCAGGUGAUCUACCCAUGGUCAGGUUGAAGUUCAGGUAACACUGAAUGGAGGACCGAACCGACUUACGUUGAAAAGUGAGCGGAUGAACUGUGGGUAGCGGAGAAAUUCCAAUCGAACUUGGAGAUAGCUGGUUCUCUCCGAAAUAGCUUUAGGGCUAGCCUCAAGUGAUGAUUAUUGGAGGUAGAGCACUGUUUGGACGAGGGGCCCCUCUCGGGUUACCGAAUUCAGACAAACUCCGAAUGCCAAUUAAUUUAACUUGGGAGUCAGAACAUGGGUGAUAAGGUCCGUGUUCGAAAGGGAAACAGCCCAGACCACCAGCUAAGGUCCCAAAAUAUAUGUUAAGUGGAAAAGGAUGUGGCGUUGCCCAGACAACUAGGAUGUUGGCUUAGAAGCAGCCAUCAUUUAAAGAGUGCGUAAUAGCUCACUAGUCGAGUGACACUGCGCCGAAAAUGUACCGGGGCUAAACAUAUUACCGAAGCUGUGGAUUGUCCGUAGGACAAUGGUAGGAGAGCGUUCUAAGGGCGUUGAAGCAUGAUYGCAAGGACAUGUGGAGCGCUUAGAAGUGAGAAUGCCGGUGUGAGUAGCGAAAGACGGGUGAGAAUCCCGUCCACCGAUUGACUAAGGUUUCCAGAGGAAGGCUCGUCCGCUCUGGGUUAGUCGGGUCCUAAGCUGAGGCCGACAGGCGUAGGCGAUGGAUAACAGGUUGAUAUUCCUGUACCACCUAGCAUCGUUUUAAUCGAUGGGGGGACGCAGUAGGAUAGGCGAAGCGUACGAUUGGAUUGUACGUCYAAGCAGUGAGAUUGAGUGUUAGGCAAAUCCGGCACUCUUAAGAUUGAGCUGUGAUGGGGAGAGGAAAUUGUUUCCUCGAGUCGUUGAUUUCACACUGCCGAGAAAAGCCUCUAGAUAGAUAAUAGGUGCCCGUACCGCAAACCGACACAGGUAGUCAAGAUGAGAAUUCUAAGGUGAGCGAGCGAACUCUCGUUAAGGAACUCGGCAAAAUGACCCCGUAACUUCGGGAGAAGGGGUGCUCUUUAGGGUGCAAGCCCAGAAGAGCCGCAGUGAAUAGGCCCAAGCGACUGUUUAUCAAAAACACAGGUCUCUGCUAAACCGUAAGGUGAUGUAUAGGGGCUGACGCCUGCCCGGUGCUGGAAGGUUAAGAGGAGURGUUAGCUUCUGCGAAGCUACGAAUCGAAGCCCCAGUAAACGGCGGCCGUAACUAUAACGGUCCUAAGGUAGCGAAAUUCCUUGUCGGGUAAGUUCCGACCCGCACGAAAGGCGUAACGAUUUGGGCACUGUCUCAACGAGAGACUCGGUGAAAUCAUAGUACCUGUGAAGAUGCAGGUUACCCGCGACAGGACGGAAAGACCCCGUGGAGCUUUACUGUAGCCUGAUAUUGAAAUUCGGCACAGCUUGUACAGGAUAGGUAGGAGCCUUUGAAACGUGAGCGCUAGCUUACGUGGAGGCGCUGGUGGGAUACUACCCUAGCUGUGUUGGCUUUCUAACCCGCACCACUUAUCGUGGUGGGAGACAGUGUCAGGCGGGCAGUUUGACUGGGGCGGUCGCCUCCUAAAAGGUAACGGAGGCGCUCAAAGGUUCCCUCAGAAUGGUUGGAAAUCAUUCAUAGAGUGUAAAGGCAUAAGGGAGCUUGACUGCGAGACCUACAAGUCGAGCAGGGUCGAAAGACGGACUUAGUGAUCCGGUGGUUCCGCAUGGAAGGGCCAUCGCUCAACGGAUAAAAGCUACCCCGGGGAUAACAGGCUUAUCUCCCCCAAGAGUUCACAUCGACGGGGAG